CCAAGAACUAUAUGUGAUCUCUAGGAGUGGCUGGAUGGGUUUCUGGGAGCUGUGUUCACCCUUCAGGCCUACAGUGGAGGUGGAGAUGAGAAUGCUGACUUUUCAUUUCUCUACCUUAUGCAUUCCUUUGGGCAUUCUGAAGCCACCAGGGGAGAGAAGAUAGGGGAUAUUGUAUUUUAUUUGGGAUUAGCCCAUAGGCCACAAUGGGAAGGAGACAAAACAGCUGAGUGCUGUGGAAGGGUGAGAUGGGAUGGGGUCGUGGCAAACCCACCCCUGUGCUUUCCCCAUCACAGCGAUGGACAUGUCCAAGGUAGAGAAGCUGGGAGGAGAUGCUACUAAUAAUUGGGAAGGAUGUCAGGAAGAAAUUAUGUAUUCAAGCAUAUGGACAGGGAUACCUUACCCCUUGCCAGCCAUGUAAGGGUUAGGUGUGUGCUCAUUUUACUGCUCUCUGCAGUCCAUGCAGAAGCAAGUUUCGGGCAGAAGUCUUGGCCCAAAGGGGUGUUCAUUGCAGGUGGGUUCAGAGGUUUUCUGGAGGGUUCUCCUCCUUUUGAUAACAGAGAGAGCGCAGGCAAGUUUGAGACCCAGUACAUGACUUUCAGUCGGUGCUGUUAGCAGAGACAAGCCCUCUUCCUUCCUGGACCAGGUGCAAAUAACUGUAAUUCUGCAAAAUUCCAUGUGGGUUAGUGCUCAUUUCUUAAACAGCCCAGGCUGCCAGGAAUAGCUGGCAGAUGUGUGUGAGGAAGGUGGGCCAUGGUUGUAAAGCGGAGCGAAGGAGCUGCUGCUUUCUGGCUGCAAUACAGAUCUCCUGCUUUGACUUCGGAGCCAACAUCCAGACCUCCCGCUCUCCAGGGACUGUUCCACUGGGUGCUGCAGACCCAGGUGGAAAAGGGAGGACACAGGCAACCAGUCACCUGCUGGAUGGGGCAAUUGGGAAGAUGUGGAGAACCAAUGGGCAUCAUCUGCUGCUGGAGCAUUGCUGCUCAGGUCCGUGCUUUGCUUUCAGUGGGUCAGGGCAUGGGAUUUGCAGUACCGUCUUUAGGAAUUUAAUUUGUAGCAUGGAUCUGUUCAAAACAGAUGCCUCUGCCAGGAAAUUUCCACCUAUUAUGAAGCCAAUAUUAUCCUAUUCUUAA
rnacentral:lncRNA from 1 species